AUGGAUUUCAACAAACUAUUGGAAACUAUAAAUGCACUAUCUUCCUUCACAACAUCACAAACCACUCAAGCAAACAAAUUUAGAUACACUUUUCUUAAAUCCGAGAAAUUCAACUUGUUUUUCAAACCAUUAGAAGAUGGGUUUCCGAUUACCUGCUAUUAGACGGGCUUCAUUUACUGGUAGCCAAUCAUCAUCAAAAGCUUUGAAUGUGCCAAAAGGUUAUCUUGCAGUGUAUGUUGGAGAGAAAAUGAAGCGCUUUGUUAUCCCUAUGUCUUACUUGAACCAACCUUCAUUUCAAGACUUGCUGAGUCAAGUAGAGGAAGAAUUCGGAUAUGAUCAUCCGAUGGGCGGCCUUACAAUUCCUUGUGCAGAAGAUGUUUUCUUACAUAUUACUUCUAGCUUCAAUGGACUAUAA